UUUUAAUAUUUUCAAUUAAUGGACCGUCCCUAGACCCUGUCCGAUAUGGGCGCCAAAAUAUAUCAUCCCUCAAUACCCCAUCUAGCAUGAGGGUGAAACGGAUCGUUCUCAUACCUCGUUCGGUAUGAGUGCCAAAUUACCAAAUCUCAAUACCCCAUUCGGUAUGAGACAACAUUCACGGUAAGGUUCUCUAUGUACCCGGUCCGUCCACUAUCUCCCAGAAUAUUCAGUAAGUCUACCAUUCAUCCAUCCACUUAAUCAAAUAAAUUCU
rnacentral:lncRNA from 1 species